UUCUUCAGGGCAGGGUGCAAUUCCCUACCGGCGGUAUAGCCCGCGAGCCUUAGAUAGGCAUGAUUCGGUGAAACUCCGAAGCCGACAGUAAAGUCUGGAUGAAAGAAGAA
rnacentral:ncRNA from 1 species